AAAAAAACCUUUAAGCUAUGCAAUCAGAGGAAUGCAACACAAACAAUAGCAUUUGAAAUUAUUUUUCUGACUCGAUUUCUAGAAAACUGAUGAAAUGAAUAGUAAAAAUAAAAAAAAUAUACCCUCCCAUGUGCAAUGCCUCACUUAAAAUUCCAUAGAGCCACCGCCACGACUGCUAAUCCUAGGUAUAUGAAGUAUAAAAUGCACUUUUCAACUCCACUUAAGAAAUUCCCUUGGAUUUGUUGGUUCUUACCGUAGCCCAAGUUGUUCAUCAUAUAGCUGGUUAUGAAUUGUUUUCCCUGAAUUUUAAGAGGCAAGAAUCACAAAUCGAAAAACUACAGAAAAAUAAAAAAUCCAAAAGGGGAAAAGUACGAAAGAGGUUACUAAGAGCACCUGUUCCAACCUGUUUAGAAUAUCUCCCCUUGCUCGAGAAAGGCCCUAUUCUCCCAAUGGGAAACUAUAGACCUGCUUUGACGGACAUAGAAUUAAGCUUCUUCUUCAAACUUCAUGAGACAAGCUUUGACCUCAUAGAUCUGUGGCAUUAUUGUUGUUGUAGUGAUCAUCUUCCCAGCAAAACAUUGAGGCGGACAUGACUGACCCUCUGCAGGUUUGGGAGUUGAAAAUGUAAAGGAGAUAAAAGCCUAUCAUGUGAGGUGGGCAGGAGGUUAA
rnacentral:misc_RNA from 1 species